rnacentral:lncRNA from 1 species
AGCCAUACAACUCAGCAGGAGUUGGCAAACCUUUCCUGUAAAGGGUCAGAUAGUGAGUAUUUGAAAAUAUUUUCAACUACUCAACUCUGCCACGGCAGCACAAAAGCGGCCAUAGACAAAAGGCACACAAGCGGGCGGGGCUGUGUUCUAAUAAAACUUUAUUUAUGGACAUUAAAAUGCCACAUUUUCGCAUGUCACAAAAUAUUCUUCUUUUGAAGUUUUCAAUCGUUGAAAAUGUAAAAAGCAUUUUUCCCUCACAGACCGUACAAAAGCAGGCAUGGAGGCAAUACUGUGGCCUCUGGGCCAUCGUUCGUACACACCUUCCCCAAAAGGCUCAGAUAGGCGAGAGAGCAGGGAGGCUCCAGAGUUGGCUGGAGUCUAGUUGGCUGAGUCCAGUCACUCAGGUUGGCUGCAGCCCAGGAGUCCCAGGAGCGAGGAGCAGCAGGGCUGGGCCAAGAGUGGAGAGGGCUGAGGACAAACCCAUAGGGCCUCGAAGGCCCCAGGAAGAGAUGUUGUCACAGCUGACUCAGCCCCGUGCUCAGACUCCAGUGUUACCAGGUCCUGAAUGUGAGACGCAGGCGUCUGCUUCUCCGAGCUUCAGUUACUUCAGCUGUAAAAUGGGACACUGGCAUUGACCUUGAAGGUCAUGAUGCAUGGAAAGAGAGGGUUAGAUCUUGUGAAAGGGGCUGAGGCUGGUGCCUAUCCCGCACCAGAGACCCACGGGGGUGACGAUGGUGUUUGCUGUUCAUUCACACAAUUGUUUUGGUUAUUCUCAGGAUGUUAAGCAGGCUCAUGUCCAGAACCUUCUCUCGGCUGCCCUGUACUAGGAAGACCAACCUGAGCAGACAGCAUCCACAGGCUCCCUCACCCUCCUGUGGACAGACAACUCAGCUACUGGGGACCCCCAGAAGGAGAUGAGGGGAGGGAGGAGAGCAGGGUUCUCCCUGACUCCCUCCUGCAGGCUGUGUGCAACCUGGAUGCAUCUUUUUGGAAAAGUCACAGCACUCUCCCAGCUCACCUCAGAGAUUCAAGGGGGUCUCCCUGCCCCUUGCCCACAUCUUUGUACACUCUUCUCAAAUUACCCAAAUUUGAAUUCGACCUGCCUGAUUGAUAGAGGGCAUAAGACUGGGUAAAGAUACCAGCUAGGAGACUAUUGCUAUCAUCUUGAUGAAGGAAAAUGAAGCAGUAAACCAGGACAGUGGUGAUGAGGGUGAAGGAAGAGCUGGAACCAAGACAUAUGUAGACAUUCAACAGGUGGAACCAGGAGCAUUCCAGAGAGGGAGGAAUCUCCAGGAGCAGUUGCAUCUCUGGCUCAGGCAAUGGAGGGGAUGGAGAUUCUGAGAGAGGAUACCCAGGGGGAGAGGCUGGUGUUUGGGAUGGAAAUGAUAACUUUGAGGCAGUGCCUGCAAACAUCCAGGUGGAUAAAUGCACAUGUAUAUCCAGCCUUCCUGAAGCUCUGAUUUUCUACCAUGUUUAGCCAGGAUCCAUCCAGUUCUCCCAGACAAGCCAUGUCAGGAAUGGCCUGGGAGCCAUGGAGAGGGGUCAGUGAAUAGAUGGCUGCUGGCCUUGUCCUUCCCCUUCGGAUGCAGGAACAAGGCUCUCAGAUGCAUGAACUCAGCCUAGAGUUCCUGGGUCUCCUGCUGCACCCACAGGAGAGGUCUGGGAGGACUCCAUCCCUGGAGGUGCCAGCAGUUAAAGAAAGCCAGAGCUGCCAGCCAAAAAACACCUUUGCCCAUCAGCCAGGAAAGCUGAACAGGCUGGAGUGCUUCCAUAGGGGAGGCACUGGGCUUAGAUCUUCCUUUAGCCAUCCAUUCCUUGGGGCUUUCAGGGGGCAGGAGGUCAGAUCUAUGCUUUCCUCGGAGGUGGGCCCUGGUGCUGGGGCGGGACCACAGGUGGCAGAGGGUGGGGGCUUAACUCCUCAGGCCUCACUGCUCAUUCCUAGUUGGACUGACUUCUGAUUACAUUGUUGUUUCAGAAACAAGCACUCGAUGGCAUAUUUCUCAAUUGAGUCACUGCUCAGUUUGCCUUCUCCCAGGAAAGCAAACACUCUCUGGCUUCACCUCGGGCCAUGGCUGUCAUUGACCUUACUUACCUUGAAGGGCUCAGCACUGGGUUCCCAAGGCCCUUUUUAAGAUCCAAUUUCCCUGGUGCUUUGAGGAGGGUGGGGGACAUCAGAAGACCCUCUUGCUGGGAACAUCCACUUCCCGAUGCCUCCUCCUUUGACGUCGUGAGCCACAGGCCACCAAGCAGGUUCUGCGGCAGCAACUCAGAAGAGCCCUCUGGAGUAGGAGAGCCUGGAUCCCGGUGCCCAAGGUGGGCACAGCCUGCAAGCAGCUCUGCUUGGAGAAGUCCCGCUUCCUAGGGCUCAUUCCGACUGUGCACAUGACACUUUCGGGAGUAGGUCAAGAGCCCCAGGCGUCAUUUGAACAGGAAGUUCUCGGGUCACAUCAAAUGUUCCAUGUUGCCAACCCUCCAUGUAACCCCUUUUCAGGAAGUCAUCGGUCUCACUGGCAGGGUGGGGGAGGGCCUGUCAUGAGUCCCGUCUCCAGUGUCCCUCUGUUCAGUGCAUUUGGCGUAACCCCCAGCUGUAUGCACUGGGCCCCCAGGGCUGCCUCCCCCUACGUCCCCCACAGCAGCCCAGCAUGGGGAGAAAACAUCCUAAAAUCACCAGGGGCUCCAGGGAAAAGCCGAGAGGGGGCACGUGGCUGGUAUGAGAGCCAGGAAUGCCCAUGUGUUCAGGAUGGCGGAGGCAAUGAGGAAAGAAUGGCCCGAUCUUCUCUCUGUUCCCUGCCUGUCAGUGUCAUUCCCACUGGGUUCUAAAUCCCCCUAGCAUGUUCACAGGUAGCUCGCUGCACCCAGAGACCCCACCAGGCAGAUAAACUUCUUUGUCCCACAGACAGAAUUCCUCGACCUAGUCUUGCCUUCUUCCCCCUGCUGUCGUCCUCAUCCCACUUCCAGCUGUGCCUGAAGAGAAUCUGAGGGUCAGACUGGAGGGCGGGGAAGGAGAGGCCGAGCUGCCCCAUUCACAGCGUUCAGGACUGUCUCUGCCCCAGGUUCCCUGACUCCUGGAAGUUUCUGGAGUCCUAGACAGGUCCUCUUGGCACUUUAGGAACCAGCUCAGGGCCUGCCUCUUCCUGGAAGCCCUUCCUGUGCGUGCUGAUGGUCUUGGAAUCAAAGCGCAGCUGCUGAGGAAGUAACUGGGAAAAGCAAAGGCCAGAACUGCAGGGUUGAGGAGGAGGAGACAGUGAGGAGAAGCCCACAGUUCAUCUCCGGGGCUCCUCCAGGUGGCUGGCGGAGCGGCUGAGUGGCCCGAGGACUUCCUUUCCCAGGAGGCUGUGCCACAGACUUGGAGCUGUGGGGUGGGGUGGCGGGUAAGAGGGCAGGCUCUCUCCUGGGCAGCACAAAGGAAGCGUCCAGGGGGCCCAAGACAGCUGUCUCACUGUGCGGUCUGAGCACCCCCAGCCCGGGCAUGUGAGCAGAGCUGACUAACUCUUGCAGGAAGUGGCCUCAAGCUGGGAGGGAAUGGUUGGAAGGCCGACUGGGAAGCGGGGCUCAGAGGGUGCUCCCCAGCCUGGCCCCUGACUCAUGAGAGCACACUGUGCCCUUUGAGGGUGGCCUGCUUUAGCCAUCUCUGCGGGUGCUGCAGGGGAACAGGGAAAUGAGGAACCAGCAUCUGCCCACAGCCUCCCUUCUCCCACAGAGGCAGGCUCCAGGCCUCAGCUCCCACCCUUCCACCAACUCACCUCCCCGCCUCACCUGGUUUUCCUAUUUUUUUUGUUCUCCAGGCUUUUCCCAUGGGAAAAUCCCACCCACCAUUCCAGGCCAGCCAGAAAGCCUCUCCCUGACACCUGACCAAGUGUUCCCUGCUGGCUCACAGGUAGCCAAGCCCCAGAGGUCUGAUAUGUGACUUCCCGGCAGGAUGCUGUGAUCUCCAAGGGCAGGGUCCCUGGAGGGAGCCGGGGCUGUACAAUGUUGGCCCUCAGCAGGGUCUCCAGGCAGGACUGCUUCCUCAGGCCAGUCCAUGGUUCCUCCACCCUGGCUCCCACUCCCCAUCCCCCCUGGCCUCAGGGAGCUGACAAGGCCAGAGGCCCCUGAAUUCCUGCCCGAGGGCUCACCCCUGCCCUCGGUUUCACAGACCACCUUUGUGUAGGUCACUGUUGCUGAGCUCUUUCUAGCCCAGCACAAACCUGGGGCCUGGUCUUAGUGACUGACCCACCGGAGAGCUCCCAGUAACUCCCAGUAACUUCUCUGCCAGUCAUCGGCUGCUGCUCCUGUCCCUUUGAGGAACUAACGACUGUUCUGUGAGUCAGUAACUAGGGGCAGAGGGAGGGGUGACAGACUCAUUGCAGAUAUCAGGUGAUCACUGCAGAUAUCAUGUGAUCGCUGCGGCCUUGGAGCCAGAGGCGUCCCUGUUUCUGCUUCCCCAAGAGGACAUUCUCCUCCCAUGGGGAAGGCCCCCACUCACUAUACAUUUGCGGCAUCUAACCUAGAUGGGCUCGAGAAAGCCACUCCGCACAGCAGAAAGAGCACUGGCUGGGAGCAAGUGAGUCUGGGCUCCCCACGGCUGGCAAGAGACUCCCCUUCUCUGAACCUCAACUUCAAGGGGGUGGCCCUCAGAAACCCUAAGAAUGCUCACAGUUUUGUGACCUCUUGAAGUCCAUGUACAUGAAGCAGCUGCGGGCUCAGCCACAUCCUGAAGGAUCCCAUGAGGAUGAGUCCUCGUUAGCAUCUGUCUGCCCUGGCUCCUAGAAGAACCUGUGAUGCUGUGAUGAAGCUUUGAAGUCAGGCAGUCCUGGGUUCAAGUACCGGCUCUGCCUCUUACCAGUACAUUUUGCACCUUUCUGAACUUGAUUUCCAGAUGAGGAGAUCUGAGGCCCCAGGAGGGAAGGAAAGCACCCAAGAUACCAGGCGGGACCCUGGGCCUGCUGGCCUGCAGCUCUGCACUCCUUCUCCAGAGGGCUUGCCCUAGAAGGAGCCAGGGUGCUGGGAAGGCUGUUCCACUUUCAAGGGCUGAAAUGAAGGUGGUUGUGUCUCACAGCCUGGCUGGCAAGGCUAGUUCCUCCACCCUGGAGCAUCUGUAGAUACACCACAGACACAGUGAGGGGAGCAGACAGGCUGGGACCACCUGGCCCUGGAGGGAAGCCCUGGGAAGGCUGGCUAGGCUGCCUCCUGGGCUGCCUCCUGGGGCUGCAGCCGG